rnacentral:tRNA from 1 species
GAAUUUGAUCCCAAAAGGUUAGGGUAUCUAGCUGAUAAUUAGAUCAUUUGAGGUUCAAUUCCUCCCAAAUUCU